AGACGACAAGACCCUAUUGAACUUAACUUCAGUUAAACUGGGGAAGUAAAUUAAUUAUAAUUUUAAUUACAAGAUUUAUAAAAAUAACCUAUAUUUAGAUAAAUAAGUUACCAUAGGGAUAACAGCGCAAUUAUAUUUUAAAGUUCUUAUAUAAAAUAUAGAUUACGACCUCGAUGUUGAAUUAAUAACCUAAUUAAAGCAAAUUUUAAUAAAGGAAGUCUGUUCGACUUUUAAAAAAUUACAUGAUUUGAGUUCAGACCGGUGUAAGCCAGGUCGGUUUCCAUCUUCUAUUAAAAUUUCUGUAGUACGAAAGGACCUAAAAACUUAAUUAAAUUAUUUUAUUAGCAAAUAAAUGCAUUAGAAUUAGAAUCUAAAUAAACU
rnacentral:rRNA from 1 species